GGUAGGAUAAGAUUAAAAUGCCUAAACAAAUCAAAGUGAUUCUCAUUUGUUAUAUUUGUUUUCUAUUGUUUGUUAUUCAUCAUGGUGACGGCAAAACUAAAACAAAAAGAUACCUUGGCUUCCGAAAUAUUACACGGUUUUUCUUACGUAUAAAUCAUAAAGCCAAUAUGGUGCGUUGGAACCAGAUCUUUGCGCAGGCGCUGGGAUUUCGCAUGAACUGGGACGAUCCUCCAGAUACAUUUCAUUGGUACCAUCACUUUACCAGACGAAGUUUAUAUAAUAACAUACAGUUACUAUUAGACAGCAAUGGAUUGAGUGGUUACCAUUGCGUACGAAGAGCUGUCUGCGAAACGAACAUGAUCGCCGAUCCCUAUUUACUGUAUCAUAGGAUAUUAAAAAUCAUUUUUAGAAGGCAACAGGAGCUAGAGAAGUGGUAUAACCAUACAAAAGAAGACUGCAUUUCCUCUAUUAACUCCUGUCCAUUCUCUUUACUAGAUAUAUCGCCUUAUACAGACCUUUAAUAUAAUAAUAAAAGGUUAA